AGAGUUUGAUCAUGGCUCAGAACGAACGCUGGCGGCAUGCCUAACACAUGCAAGUCGAACGAGACCUUCGGGUCUAGUGGCGCACGGGUGCGUAACGCGUGGGAAUCUGCCCUUGGGUUCGGAAUAACAGUUAGAAAUGACUGCUAAUACCGGAUAAUGUCUUCGGACCAAAGAUUUAUCGCCCAGGGAUGAGCCCGCGUAGGAUUAGCUAGUUGGUGAGGUAAAGGCUCACCAAGGCGACGAUCCUUAGCUGGUCUGAGAGGAUGAUCAGCCACACUGGGACUGAGACACGGCCCAGACUCCUACGGGAGGCAGCAGUGGGGAAUAUUGGACAAUGGGCGAAAGCCUGAUCCAGCAAUGCCGCGUGAGUGAUGAAGGCCUUAGGGUUGUAAAGCUCUUUUACCCGGGAUGAUAAUGACAGUACCGGGAGAAUAAGCUCCGGCUAACUCCGUG
rnacentral:rRNA from 1 species